rnacentral:rRNA from 1 species
GAUGAACGCUAGCGGCAGGCUUAAUACAUGCAAGUCGAGGGACAGCACAGGUAGCAAUACUGGGUGGUAACCGGCAAACGGGUGCGGAACACGUACGCAACCUUCCUUUAAGUGGGGGAUAGCCCAGAGAAAUUUGGAUUAAUACCCCGUAAUAUAGUUGAAUGGCAUCAUUUGAUUAUUAUAGCUACGGCGCUUAAUGAUGGGUGUGCGGCUGAUUAGAUAGUUGGCGGGGUAACGGCCCACCAAGUCUACGAUCAGUAGCUGAUGUGAGAGCAUGAUCAGCAACACGGGCACUGGGACACGGGCCCGACUCCUACGGGAGGCAGCAGUAAGGAAUAUUGGUCAAUGGACGCAAGUCUGAACCAGCCAUGCCGCGUGAAGGAUUAAGGUCCUCUGGAUUGUAAACUUCUUUUAUUUGGGACGAAAAAGGGCCUUUCUAGGUCAACUGACGGUACCAGAUGAAUAAGCACCGGCUAACUCCGUGCCAGCCGCCGCCGUAAGAC